CGAUGAACCUGAAUAUCCAUUAUGAAAAAUUCAUCAUUAUAACUUAUAUAUAUAUAUUAAAUAUUAAUAAAAAUAUAUGGGUGAUAGUGUGCAUUUUUUUCAUAUAAGGACAUUGUGAUCUAUUAACAUAACAAAAAUAUUUAUCAAAAGAUCAUUAGCUUAAGUUUAUUUGAAUUAAUUUGCUUUUAGCAUAUUAACAUAAAAUAAAUGCAAAUGAUUUGAUAAAGUGUUGAUAGAUUUAUUAUAUAUAAUGCUUAAAUUUUUGAAAGAAAAUUUUACAAUAAUAUAUAUUAUA
rnacentral:rRNA from 1 species